GGUUUGAAUGUCCUAAUACAAACAUUUUCAUGACUGGGUUUUCUCUUUUGUGGCCUCUCCACAUUUUCUUUGUGAGCGGAUGUUAUUAUUUGCUAUGAAAGUUUGAGAGUUUAAUAUUAAAAACGAGUGUAGUGUGAUUGCAGGUGCUUUUAAGUACAGUAGUAUUUCAGUACAAUAGUCUUGCUGUAGAAGCAAAGUAGUAGCUUGUAGUUUCCAUGUUUAUGAAAUUUUUCUUCCCUAAAGGUGCUCCUGUGUGGAAUUCAAGAAAUUGAUCUGAAUGACUGGCAGAGGCAAUACCAUCUACCGGCAUGAUAGCAGAACCUGCAGACAGAUAUUGUGGUUCUGGCAGUUUGGGAAAUAAAUAGAUAAUGAGAAGAGAAUGAGAUUUCUACAGUUUGUUACUGGAACGUGCAGAUUACCAGUAGGAGGAUUUGCUGACCUCACGGGGAGCAACAGACCCCAAAAAUUUUGCAUUGAGAAAGUUGGAAAGGAAAACUGGUUACCUGGAAGUCACACCUGUUUCAAUCGCUUGGACCUUCCAGCCUAUAAGAAUUAUGAGCAGCUGAAGGAAAAGCUGUUAUUUGCAACUGAAGAAACAGAAGGUUUUGGGCAGGAAUAGCUGGGAUUUGCACCUUGAAGAAUGUGAACUCAGCGUGAUGUUCUUCGCUUCUUCUGCUUGUUGCACACUUCAUAGUAAAGUAGACUUGACUUGGAUUAUUUAACAAUAGUUGCGUGUAAGUAAAUGGAUGUUAUCCUGAGGUUUUAUCCAUGUAAACUCUGGAUUUCUACCGAGCACUUUCAGAAACCUUCUCGCUGGCGGUGAAAGCUAUCCUUGCUUCACAGUUUUACUAGGAGGAAGAUCUGCCUAUUCCAAAGCACUGGAUGGGUAUUUUACCGUAUACAGCUCAGAAGGAGAAGAAAAAAGCCUUAUGAAUAUUCUGUUUAUGUUAAUUCUUACAGUGAAAUCUAGUUAUCUAACAUAUUUACAGGAGAGAUGAAAUUAAACAGGAUAAUGCAAGAUUAAGCUAAGACAACUAGUUUGUGUUCUGCAUAAUGAUUUAUGAUUCACGUAGGGAACCUAGACAUGCCGUGGAUGUAUAAGUAUCACCCAAAAGGCUUUCAGCCCUAUAUUUUUAAAACACAAAGCAGUUCUAAUUGAAAUAGCCUUAGCCCUAGUUCUAUAGGGUACAGCUGUUGAAUAUUUUUAUGGCUGAAAUGUUUAGUUCAGGAAAAAGAUAAAUGCUUGUAUAUAUUUUUGCAGUCUCGGAUUCCACUUACUCCAUGUUUUCUUUCUUUAAUUUAAGUGGCGUGUUUGUGUCUUUCCUGCUGUAUUGGAUGGGGAAAGUGGGCUGGAUAUCCCAAGCACCAGAACUUACUUUAAUGUACCGCAAACAAAGAGUCAGCUGGGAAAAGCAGUCUGUGAAAUGCUGCAUUUGGCCAAAGAGGAAAGUAAACCUGCCAGUGUGUUCAAUUGGCGACGUUCUUGAAGUCUGAAAUAAUGUUUACUUACACGUUUUGCUUUGUAAGCCAACAAGUCUGUUGGUUUUUCUAUAGCAUGUUCUGUAGAAAUAAAACGUUGUUCCUAUGAACCAUUGGUGCACUUUGCUGUUCUUUAUGGGGAUGCGGAGGAAACAUCCCGUGGAUGCUGUGGAUAACCCCACAGCAUCUGCUACCCCAGGUAAUAUUGGACUUCCAGCUGAGAUGAAUGACUUUACUGCUCCCAGCACUGCUUGAGCAACCUGGUCUGUGUGAAUUCAUACUGCAUAACAAAUACAUACUCGUAUGUAGCUGCCAACUAAUCCCAAUUCUCAAACAUGAAAGUAACUUCUGUUUCGUUGUUUGCCUUAUGAAAAUGACAUGAAAAACUGAAUGAGAUGCUGAGCUGCUGAUGGACGAAUUAACAAAGCCUUAUUGCUCCAGGUAGCUCAGGUGUUCCUAUAUGAAGCUGCACAGUAAAUGCGUCAUGUCUUCAUCUGAUCAAGCAGCGGGAGCUGAUAUUUUAAUGUGUUUCUAUUCCAGAAAAAGAAAAAAAAACUUGAAAAAGAAAAGCCUGUUAAAAUUGUCUUGUUUGCAUCAUUCUGACAUGCUGUGCUCUGUCUGUGAAUUCAGCUCUUGGUUCUGUUGGUAUCUCCAGCCCCUGAUUCUUGUGGUGUCUUCAUUUUCUUCCAGCAUCACUGUUUGUGUAUUGCUCUAUUGAACAAGGACAUGAACAGGGAUCAGCAGCACUGGAUGGUAAAAUACUGUAUGAAGUUAAUUGUGGAAAUUUCCUUGUAUUGUAAUUUCCAGUACUCAGGAAACUGUAACAAUAUCUCUGUAAGUCAAAUACUUUUAUAAAAUGACUCAAAGAGA